UGGGGAAUUGUUCACAAUGGGCGCAAGCCUGAUGACGCAACGCCGCGUGGAGGAUGAAGGUCUUCGGAUUGUAAACUCCUGUUGCCCGGGACGAAUGGCUCCAACCUAAUACGUUGGAGUGUGACGGUACCGGGUGAGGAAGCCCCGGCUAACUCUGUGCCAGCAGCCGCGGUAAUACAGAGGGGGCAAGCGUUGUUCGGAAUUACUGGGCGUAAAGGGCGCGUAGGUGGCCCGCUAAGUCGAACGUGAAAUCCCCGAGCUCAACUCGGGAACUGCGUCCGAUACUGGCGGGCUUGAAUCCGGGAGAGGGAUGCGGAAUUCCAGGUGUAGCGGUGAAAUGCGUAGAUAUCUGGAGGAACACCGGUGGCGAAGGCGGCAUCCUGGACCGGCAUUGACGCUGAGGCGCGAAAGCUAGGGGAGCAAACGG
rnacentral:rRNA from 1 species